UACAGAGGUCUCGAGCGUUAGUCGGAAUCACUGGGCUUAAAGCGUGUGUAGGCGGAUCGUUAAGUGCCUUGUGAAAUCCCACGGCUUAACCGUGGAACUGCUUGGCAUACUGGCGAUCUUGAGCAACCUAGGGGCGAGCGGAACAAAUGGUGGAGCGGUGAAAUGCGUAGAUAUCAUUUGGAACGCCAAUGGUGAAAACAGCUCGCUGGGGGUUUGCUGACGCUGAGACACGAAAGCCAGGGGAGCAAACGGG
rnacentral:rRNA from 1 species